UGGGGAAUUUUUUGCCUGACGAAUCGCAAUGGCUCUCUACCCUGCUCUACUGAUGACGGCGACCAUCUAUGGUUCUCAUGAAGCAGUGAUUCUGCCUUGAUGUCGCAUACGAUGUAUCCUUGGGCAUUCCAAUUGAAAUGCAACACACAGUAAAUUCAGAUUAGACGUAUUAUAUCUUCCAUUUUCAUUCUCUGUUCGAGUUCUUAAUGCAUAAAUGCACAACAGCUCCACCUUAUGUGCAGAUGGAAGGGAAUUGUUCAAUGGCUGAAGAUAAUGGAUAUGAACGGAACCCUCCUGUUGAUUUGGCCAUGAGGAACUGAUGCGCCAGUUCAGACCUUAUUUUUGCCUCUUCCUUCCUGCUGGGUGGGAGAACCGUUUUGUUUCCCCUACGUAGAAUAACAUCCCAGGGAUUCAUGCAGUUUGGGCUCAAC